GCGGAGGAAAAGAAACCAACAGGGAUUGCUCUAGUAACGGCGAGUGAAGCAGCAAUAGCUCAAAUUUGAAAUCUGGCGUCUUCGACGUCCGAGUUGUAAUUUGUAGAGGAUGCUUCUGAGUGGCCACCGACCUAAGUUCCUUGGAACAGGACGUCAUAGAGGGUGAGAAUCCCGUAUGCGGUCGGAAAGGCGCUCUAUACGUAGCUCCUUCGACGAGUCGAGUUGUUUGGGAAUGCAGCUCUAAAUGGGAGGUAAAUUUCUUCUAAAGCUAAAUAUUGGCCAGAGACCGAUAGCGCACAAGUAGAGUGAUCGAAAGAUGAAAAGCACUUUGGAAAGAGAGUUAAAAAGCACGUGAAAUUGUUAAAAGGGAAGGGAUUGCAACCAGACUUGCUCGCGGUGUUCCGCCGGUCUUCUGACCGGUCUACUCGCCGCGUUGCAGGCCAGCAUCGUCUGGUGCCGCUGGAUAAGACUUGAGGAAUGUAGCUCCCUCGGGAGUGUUAUAGCCUCUUGUGAUGCAGCGAGCGCCGGGCGAGGUCCGCGCUCGGCUAGGAUG
rnacentral:rRNA from 1 species